AUCAUUUUCAGACAGACACGUAGACGUCUCUUUUCGGAAAGUCCGGUGAAAAUCCGGCGCGGACCCGCCACUGUAUCCUCCUGCCUCCGCAGGGGGGAGCCAGAUCGCGAGAAGAAGACGAAGGCA
rnacentral:ncRNA from 1 species